UACGGAAGGCAGCAGUGGGGAAUAUUGGACAAUGGGCGAAAGCCUGAUCCAGCCAUGCCGCGUGUGUGAAGAAGGUCUUCGGAUUGUAAAGCACUUUAAGUUGGGAGGAAGGGCAGUAAAUUAAUACUUUGCUGUUUUGACGUUACCGACAGAAUAAGCACCGGCUAACUCUGUGCCAGCAGCCGCGGUAAUACAGAGGGUGCAAGCGUUAAUCGGAAUUACUGGGCGUAAAGCGCGCGUAGGUGGUUCGUUAAGUUGGAUGUGAAAUCCCCGGGCUCAACCUGGGAACUGCAUUCAAAACUGACGAGCUAGAGUAUGGUAGAGGGUGUGGAAUUUUCCUGUGUAGCGGUGAAAUGCGUAGAUAUAGGAAGGAACACCAGUGGCGAAGGCGACCACCUGGGACUGAUACUGACACUGAGGUGCGAAAGCGUGGGGAGCGAAACAGGAUUAGGAUACC
rnacentral:rRNA from 1 species